AGAGACCGGCGCACGGGUGCGUAACGCGUAUGCAAUCUACCUUGUACAGAGGGAUAGCCCAGAGAAAUUUGGAUUAAUACCUCAUAGUAUAGCAGUUUCGCAUGAAACCACUAUUAAAGUCACAACGGUGAAAGAUGAGCAUGCGUCCCAUUAGCUAGAUGGUAAGGUAACGGCUUACCAUGGCAACGAUGGGUAGGGGUCCUGAGAGGGAGAUCCCCCACACUGGUACUGAGACACGGACCAGACUCCUACGGGAGGCAGCAGUGAGGAAUAUUGGACAAUGGGCGCAAGCCUGAUCCAGCCAUGCCGCGUGCAGGAUGACGGUCCUAUGGAUUGUAAACUGCUUUUGUACAGGAAGAAACACUCCCUCGUGAGGGAGCUUGACGGUACUGUAAGAAUAAGGAUCGGCUAACUCCGUGCCAGCAGCCGCGGUAAUACGGAGGAUCCAAGCGUUAUCCGGAAUCAUUGGGUUUAAAGGGUCCGUAGGCGGUUUAGUAAGUCAGUGGUGAAAGCCCAUCGCUCAACGGUGGAACGGCCAUUGAUACUGCUAAACUUGAAUUAUUAGGAAGUAACUAGAAUAUGUAGUGUAGCGGUGAAAUGCUUAGAGAUUACAUGGAAUACCAAUUGCGAAGGCAGGUUACUACUAAUGGAUUGACGCUGAUGGACGAAAGCGUGGGUAGCGAACAGGAAUAGAUACCCUGGUAGUCCACGCCGUAAACGAUGGAUACUAGCUGUU
rnacentral:rRNA from 1 species